UUAAUUGAAGAGUUUGAUCAUGGCUCAGAUUGAACGCUGGCGGCAGGCCUAACACAUGCAAGUCGAGCGGUAACAUUUCUAGCUUGCUAGAAGAUGACGAGCGGCGGACGGGUGAGUAAUGCUUGGGAACAUGCCUUGAGGUGGGGGACAACCAUUGGAAACGAUGGCUAAUACCGCAUAAUGUCUACGCACC
rnacentral:rRNA from 1 species